AUUGAACGCUGGCGGCAUGCUUUACACAUGCCAGUCGAACGGCAGCGCGGGCUUCGGCCUGGCGGCGAGUGGCGAACGGGUGAGUAAUGCAUCGGAACGUGCCCAGUAGUGGGGGAUAGCCCGGCGAAAGCCGGAUUAAUACCGCAUACGACCUGAGGGUGAAAGCGGGGGACCGAAAGGCCUCGCGCUAUUGGAGCGGCCGAUGUCGGAUUAGCUAGUUGGUGGGGUAAAGGCUUACCAAGGCGACGAUCCGUAGCUGGUCUGAGAGGACGACCAGCCACACUGGGACUGAGACACGGCCCAGACUCCUACGGGAGGCAGCAGUGGGGAAUUUUGGACAAUGGGGGCAACCCUGAUCCAGCCAUGCCGCGUGCGGGAUGAAGGCCUUCGGGUUGUAAACCGCUUUUGUUCGGGAAGAAAUCCUCUGGGCUAAUACCCCGGGGGGAUGACGGUACCGGAAGAAUAAGCACCGGCUAACUACGUG
rnacentral:rRNA from 1 species